rnacentral:rRNA from 5 species
AGACCCGAAACCCGGUGAUCUAGCCAUGGGCAGGUUGAAGGUUGGGUAACACUAACUGGAGGACCGAACCGACUAAUGUUGAAAAAUUAGCGGAUGACCUGUGGCUGGGGGUGAAAGGCCAAUCAAACCGGGAGAUAGCUGGUUCUCCCCGAAAGCUAUUUAGGUAGCGCCUCGUGAAUUCAUCUCCGGGGGUAGAGCACUGUUUCGGCUAGGGGGCCAUCCCGGCUUACCAACCCGAUGCAAACUGCGAAUACCGGAGAAUGUUAUCACGGGAGACACACGGCGGGUGCUAACGUCCGUCGUGAAGAGGGAAACAACCCAGACCGCCAGCUAAGGUCCCAAAGUCAUGGUUAAGUGGGAAACGAUGUGGGAAGGCCCAGACAGCCAGGAUGUUGGCUUAGAAGCAGCCAUCAUUUAAAGAAAGCGUAAUAGCUCACUGGUCGAGUCGGCCUGCGCGGAAGAUGUAACGGGGCUAAACCAUGC